AUGUGGGAUUCCGGUCCCACGGUGAAGCCCUCCGUGUCUCUGCUCCCUCCCUCCUCUCUGCAGCCGUCUGACAGAUCGGCCUCGCUGCUCUGCCUGCUGUCCGCCUACUCUCCACAGGGGGCGCUGGUGAGCUGGACGGUGGACGGCUCAGAGGUGAAGGACGGGGUUCUGACCAGCCCAGAAGAACACAAGAAGGACGGUUACACACGCAGCAGCACCCUGACCCUCAGCAAAGAACUCUGGGAAAAGGGGGAGGAGUUUGUCUGUACCGUCUCCCAUGGUGGUGUCCAUCAUCCGCUCACGUUCAGAAAGAGCCAGUGUUAAGACCAACAGCUCCAAGAUAGAAUUGAACACUGAGCUGCUCACACAUCCAUCUACAAUCGAGUUUCAAUUCUACACAAUGCUGACAUUUCUGUCUUUCCUCUCUUCACUGUCCUGUUGCUCUUCCUGUAGUUUUGCUCUGCUGAAAUAAAGCUUCAUUUUGGA